rnacentral:miRNA from 1 species
GUUCCUUAAAAAGUUCCUAACUUCCUGUUUCAUUGACCAAUCAUAUUUAAUUUUUGAGCAAUCUGAUUGGUCAAUGAAACAGGAAGUUAGGAACUUUUUAAGGAAC